AUGUAAUUUGCAUCGACGUAAUUCAUGCCGAUGUAAUAAUAAUUCGACGUAACCGCUUGUUUCAAGUGCAAAAUAACAUCUUCUUGAUGUUAUAUUACAUCGCUACUAAAUUACACUGAAAAAACUUUACAAUUUUUCAUCACAUUGAACUUGUGUAAUAUUCACAUCUGAAAUAUAUAAAUAUUACACAGAAACAGCUGCAACCAAGUCAUUCCGACAUACUUUAGUGAUAUUACACAAACUCAAUGCUUUUUCGCAUGCGAUACGAAUACAAUAAUCAGUCUCGCAACACUGCCCACUGACACUGCUCGGUGGUUUCGGUCGAAGUGUCAUGGCGGCUUCCACGCGCGUCCGCGAUCGCUUCUUUUAUUUGUAAUUAUUAAUAGUUCCGGCUUUAUUAUAAUACCUAACUUGAUUCAAAGAAGAUCCCCCAGGACGUCAUCCAGAAGUUUCAUCAAAAAUUCCCCCAGGAGUGGCCUCAGAAAUUUCUCCAGGAAAUAUCACGUAAGUCUACGAACAAGGCGAUCUGGGUCCUUCGCAGAACAUCCGAACUGUGCUGAGCAAGACCAGUACCGACAUGAGUCAGCUGGCGCAAUAGCUGCUCGAUCACGAGUACGAAAUCAUGUCCGGAACAACCGUCAAACCGCAGCAGAAAUCCGUGGCCCCGAUCAUUCUUCGCGCACAAGGACUUGACCGAGAAGAAGCUGUCGGUGCUUCAGCAGGAUCACGGAACGAUCACCGCCCGACUGCAGAAACAGCACGACGAAGUCUGCCAGCGGCUCAAACAGAAAGAGAAGGAAUUCGAAGAAACGCUGUCGCUGCUCACGAAGGCCUUCAAGGACGAAUGCUUCGAGCGGUUGAAGGUUCAUGCCAACGAGUACAAGGAACCGCUGCACGUGCUUCAGCCCAAGGAUGAGAGAAUCGAACAGCUGGAGCAGGAGAUCGCCAAGGAGAACCACGACUGGAUAAUGUCCCUCGUCCGCGGCGCAGAAACGCCCGUGACCCGGGCCCCGGAUCAUCGACCGCGAGAACCAACAGAAGCGCAAUCAGCAGCAGAUCCAAACGGAAGCUGAACAGCUGGUGUGCGAAAUCCUGGGCGAGUAUCUGAGCAGGAAGCCUCACCGUGCGGCUCGGGGGGGACUUUGCUAUAUUCCCUUCAAUCGAGCUGACUUGGCUUUCAAAAUGAACAUCAAAGUUUAAAUGCGACUGCUUAUUGGUAAGAUCGGUGCGAAAACAUGAACGGGCUCUGUUGAAGCUUCCCGGCCAUUCUGCUCCAUCAUUUGAAAAACUAUUCAAUGCAACAAAAAUGUUAUAAAUGAUGCAAUAAAAUAAUUGAUGAUUUAAAUGACUGUA